AACGAACGCUGGCGGCAGGCUUAACACAUGCAAGUCGAGCGCCCCGCAAGGGGAGCGGCAGACGGGUGAGUAACGCGUGGGAAUCUACCCAUCUCUACGGAAUAACGCAUGGAAACGUGUGCUAAUACCGUAUACGUCCUUCGGGAGAAAGGUUUAUCGGAGAUGGAUGAGCCCGCGUUGGAUUAGCUAGUUGGUGGGGUAAAGGCCUACCAAGGCGACGAUCCAUAGCUGGUCUGAGAGGAUGAUCAGCCACACUGGGACGGGGACAGGGCCCAGACUCCUACGGGAGGCAGCAGUGGGGAAUAUUGGACAAUGGGCGGAAGCCUGAUCCAGCCAUGCCGCGUGAGUGAUGAAGGCCGUAGGGUUGUAAAGCUCUUUCACCGGUUAAGAUAAUGACGGUAACCGGAGAAGAAGCCCCGGCUAACUUCGUGCCAGCAGCCGCGGUAAUAC
rnacentral:rRNA from 1 species